AGAGAAGCCUGGUGGGCUACAGUCCGUAGGUUCACACACAGCUGGACACAACUGAAGUGACUGAGCAUGCGUGUGCCCGAGGUUAAGUACAUGGAGAUGAGGAGAGAGUGUUGAAUUAUCCAGGUGGGCCCAAUUUAAUCACUUGAGUCCUUCAAAAUGGAGACCUUUGUCUAUGGUUAGAGAGAAGGAGGAAAGGUCUGCUGCAUGAAACAGGGAGGCCACCAGACAAGGACUGUGGGCAACCACUUUAGCCGAAUGAGACCCAGUUCAGACUUAUGAACUACAGAAAAGUAAGAACAAAUCUGUGCCUUCUUGAGCCGACAAGUUUGUAAUAAUUUGUAUGGUGGCUACAGGAGGCAAAUGUAUUCAACCUAUACCCCAUGAUCAUUUCCAGGUGUUGCACAUCUCAGCUUGGACUAGCCCCAUUUCAAAUGCUCAGCAGCCGCAUGUGGCUCGUGUCUAUCGUUUGUACGUGGGGCCUCUAACCUGUGAAGCAAGGAGAAGGCUAAACAACUGAGUAGAAGGAAGACACAUAUGAUGUUAACUUUAUGUGCCAACUUGGCUGGCUCACAAUGCCCAGAUAUUUGUUUAAAUGUUAUUCUGGAUAUUUCUGUGAAGAUAUUUUAGGAACAAGAUUAACAUUUAAAUCAAUGGACUUUAAGUAAAGCA